GGCCUGAGGAAUGGAGUCAGCCCUCUGUGGGCUGAAACCUCUAAAACCUUGGUUCCCCAGAUAAGCUUUCCUUCUUCUAUGUCUUUUGAUCACAGCAGCAAAAAGGUUGACUCAAACAUCACCAUAAUCAAGGUAUGAAGUGCAUUUGACAUGUUGCAAUGUGUCCGUGUGUUCCUCUGUUUUGUUUUGUUUCAUUUGUUUUGUGUUAAGAAUAUUUUACAUGUUAUCUACCCCCGUAACAUAUGAUAUAGCUGUCUCACAUCUGUGCAUACAUCCAAAGAAACUGAAAUCAGUUUCUUGAAGAAAUAUCUGCUCUCCCAUGUUCAUUUUGCAACAUUAUUCAUGAUAACUUAAAAUAUGGAAAUAUCCUACUGAUGACUUACAAAUGAAAGGUUAAAGAAAUUGUGGUAAGUAAAUAUGAUAAAAUGUAAUAUAAUUUAGUCUAACUAAUUAAGGAGAUACUUGAAACUCUGUGGAUGAACCUAGAGGUCACUAUGCCAAGUGAAAUAACCAGUCAUGGAUAAAUAAUGAAUGAUUCCACUUAACACGCGGUUUCCCUAAGAGUCAAACUCAGAAGGAGAAAAUGCAGUAGUGGAUACCAGAGGCUAGAAGUGGGGUACAUGGGGAAUUUUUGUUCAAUGGGUGUACAGUUUCAGUUAUGGAAGAUUAAUAAAUACUAGAGAUCCAUUGUAUAGCACAGUGCCUAAAGUUAGCAACAUUCUGAUCAUCAUUAUUAUUUAAAGGAAAUACAGAAUUGUGUCCUAUGGUCAUCUGAAAUAAGAUCAUCAAUAACCAAAUCAUCAUAACAAAAUAUCAUUAAAAAAAAAACUUCAAGAAAUAAUGAUAUAUAUUUCCAUAAGACUUUACUAGUUUAUUUCAAAAUGUGCAAAUGCCAGGAAACUUAGAAGUCCUAAUAAAGUCACAUAAUGGACUUGAUAAUUCUCUGUAAUUGACCAAACAUAAUGAUUCCUAAAACCUGCCAGAUAGGAAAAUGAAUCUAAGUUUAACUUUACAUCAGGCAGGCUCAGUUACCUUAGAAAUGAUUUCACAGGAUACUAGUUUAGUAAAUCAACACAUUCAAUGAUUUAUAGGCAGUAGGCCAGAUCUUUCAUAGGCAUUUGCUAAAUUUGCCACGACUGAAGUUUCUGGAGAAUGCUUUUCAUAUAAGAAAAAAAAAUUGGACAAACUGCUCAUGAAAACUAUAUUGUUUCUUCUUUUAAACCAUUUUACUGAGUUACAAUUGAUAAGAAAACUGGCCAUAUUUAAUGCGUGUCAUUUGGGAAAUACACAUCCAUGAAAUCAUCACCACCUUCAAGACAUAAACACAUCCAUCACCUCACAUCACUUUCUUUCACCUCCUUUAACAUCAUUAGAGUUUUCUAAUGAAAUUACUGAACAUAGCUACCCAUGAGUAAAUUUUAAGUACAUAAUACUAUUUUAUCAGCUAUUAGACCCUAUGCUAUACACUAGAUAUUCAGAAAUUCUUCACCUUGCAUAACGGAAACUUUCAAUCAUCACCUCAUCUUUUUCUUCAUCACCACCACCCCAGUCCCUGACAACAUUUUAUUCUCCAAUUCUAUGAGAAUGAUGGUUAGAUUCUAC
rnacentral:lncRNA from 1 species